GAUGGACGCUGGCGGCGUGCCUAAUACAUGCAAGUCGAGCGAACAGACGAGGAGCUUGCUCCUCUGACGUUAGCGGCGGACGGGUGAGUAACACGUGGAUAACCUACCUAUAAGACUGGGAUAACUUCGGGAAACCGGAGCUAAUACCGGAUAAUAUAUUGAACCGCAUGGUUCAAUAGUGAAAGACGGUUUUGCUGUCACUUAUAGAUGGAUCCGCGCCGCAUUAGCUAGUUGGUAAGGUAACGGCUUACCAAGGCAACGAUGCGUAGCCGACCUGAGAGGGUGACCGCCCACACGGGAACUGAGACACGGUCCAGACUCCUACGGGAGGCAGCAGUAGGGAAUCUUCCGCAAUGGGCGAAAGCUUGACGGAGCAACGCCGCGUGAGUGAUGAAGGUCUUCGGAUCGUAAAACUCUGUUAUUAGGGAAGAACAAAUGUGUAAGUAACUAUGCACGUCUUGACGGUACCUAAUCAGAAAGCCACGGCUAACUACGUG
rnacentral:rRNA from 1 species